rnacentral:misc_RNA from 1 species
GAAAGAGGUAGAGGAAGAGAAGAUGCGAAUUCACAACUCCGUUACAGUCCAGUCUCCUCCCACGGAAGCAGAAGCAACGAGUGCCAGAAAAGGAGAUGACUUUACAAAUCGAAAGCCCUUACAAGAAUUUUGAUGGGUUAUGAUUGGGCCAAAGCAUGGGCUAGACCAGUUUAUUUCCAUAGAGGUUGGGCCAAGCAAUAAAGCUUGAUCAGAUUUGAAUUGGAUGAUAUUUUCGGUUUGAAAAGCAAACCAAAUUGAAGAGUUGCUUCCCCACUCGCACAACCGGAGGGAUGCGCCUCGGUUUCUGCGCUGCCAAAAUUACAUCCACAACUACAUUCUCCUUCUCUCAGGUUUGAACCAGAACACAUUUGGUUAACAUUUGCAUGUUUUCCCUUUCAUUGUUUUGGCUUCUUGGACGGCACAUGCUUGGUGGUGGUUUUUUCUGCCGAGUUGUGGUUGAUUUUUAUUUUAUUUUACUUUAUGAUAAUGAACAACUGAACUAUUCUUUUUUUAUUUUUCUGAUGUGGGUUUCUUUUCAUUUCUUUGUUAUCGCUUUCUACAAUUAAGUUCUUGGAUCUUUACUAUAAAUGGGAUGAUUAUUCAUGCUUAUUGUGAUUUUUCUUGGUUAUAUCAUGUAUUAUUGAAGCGUGCCAUUGGCAUUUUUCUCCCCGCAUAUUCCUUUUCUUUUCUUUUUCUUUAUUUUUUUCUUUUUUGCUUUUUGGUUCGUCAUGAUAUAGUUGGGGAUUCACCAGUGAUUCCCCAGUGAAUGUCCACUAUUGUGGAAGCAAAACUUUGCAGGACAAGUUAAUGUAAUAUGAGACGGCUAAAGUUGUGCAGUUGUGUUUUAUUGGAUUGCAAAUGCUCAAUUGCUUUGAUUACUGUUAUAGGAUGCUUAGAUUGGGCAUAGAAGUCUGAUGCAUGCCUGCUGGUAUGUCUGUGUGGAUAUUGUCUAUUUGGGUUUUCAUUACAUGAUUUAUCAGAUCAUUUGUUAUUAAUUAUUUCAUAUAUUGUACUGCCUCUUUCUGGAUUAUGAAUUUUUGGCGUUUAUGUUAGUGCCUUCUCAUUUACCUAUGAGUUUUGAAUUUCGGUAGGUAGUACUACCUCAUUUCCUAUUUCAUUUUUGGUUUUAUAAUAUCUGGCUGUAGUUUCUCAAUGUCAUUGUCAUGUUCAUUAUUCCUUUUGCAAUGGAUUUAAUUUAGCUUUCUCACAAGUGGAAUGCCCUUUCUGAUUUAAGAAGGAAGGUGGUUGUGGUUGAAGGAAAGGCCAUUAACUGGAUCUUUAUGCCUGGUUAUAGGAGGACUGGAUGUUGGGAUGGUGAGUAUAAGAAGACGCAAACUCAAUGGACGAUGCAAUGGUAUACUCAAGCUAUCACUCUGCAUACUGCCAAAUGAUAAAUUGCUCCUUUCGGUUGACCAAAAUGUGGCAGUCUUUUGCUCAUAAAGUAGAUAUAUAUUAUUUUCCAUGUAUUUUGAUAUGUUUUCCUUGUCUAUAUAUCAUUAUUCACUUGAUCUUAAGACAAUUAAAGUAAUGUAUUGUGUAAGCUUAAUGCUGUCGUUAUUGUUUUCACUGUCAUAUAAUGUCAUUGACCUAAUGUUGAUGAGAUAUAAUGGAUUUUGCAGGAAGAAGAUCCUUCUUGGUUCCACUUUGUAACAUUCCUGGUGGCUACGUUCCUAAAAAUCCUGAGCAUAGUGGUAGACCUGUCAAUAUGCAUCAGCUUCCUUUAGUUUCUCUCAACCAACAAGUUGAAGUAAGAAUGGAUUUUAAAUAAUUUACUGAUUUCCAAGAUAUAUUAUUCAAAUUACCUCCUCUGAAUUACUUAUUGCUAUAUUCUGACAUCAUAGAGGGGAAUAAAGUGCUUUUAGUGGUCUUCCCUAAAUUCUGACCUGCUCUUCCUCUUGCAAUACACUCCUUAAGAUAUGACUGGAAAACUUUGUGAAUGCUGAAUGGGUCUGCCAUGUUAUUGGAUACUAGUUGGUUUUAUAGAAUAUCUUUUAAGGUUGGGAGACAAAAGUGAGGGUGCAGAAGCAAGGGAAGAGGAACAAAAAGAGAUUGGGUCUAUCAGUUAGAAUAACCAAGCAGUGAAUCUUCUCUUGGAAGUGAAACACACGUUGAUCUUACCUAGAAUAAGAAAUGCAAAAGCGAGAAUGAGUGAGUUUAAUGAUUGCGUCCUAUGCUUAUUUGACUGCAAAAACUUGCUUUCUAGUUUUGUAAUUUAUUGAUUCUGCAUUAGGAAAUCAGUUUGGUCAAUCAGCUGAGUAUCCUCCAACAGUUUAAAAACUGAUAACUGGUGACUUCUUUGUUAAUGUCUGAGUGGAUCUACUGGAUUAACAUGUGUUAUCUGGUGUGAAAUAUUGAAAUUAUUUUCUGGAGCUAACUUUUAUUGUGAUGUUGGACAUGAUAAUUUGUUAUGAUAUUGUACACUUUCAUUCAGAAUACAGCACAGUAAACUGGAGGUAAGGUAAGUGGAAUACAGCUGCUCUAUCCCUUAUAGGAUGGACAAUUUUAAUGCCUCAUUUUCUAAAUAAUGCAACAGAAUUUUGAGGAGUGUGUAAAGAAGGAUACGCCUUUCUGCUUAAUGAGCUUGAUAAGAAAUUGUGAUACAAUUUUGACCAAGGGUUUAAUUUUUACAUUGUGCUACAGGUUGAAGAAGAAAGGGAAAUGAUAGCAAGUCCACCUGCAAAGAAACAGAAAAUACAUGUCCAAAUAGAUCCAGAGAACCCCAUGGAGGUGCAUGCUUAUCUGACGAAGCUAAAGGAAGAUAACAAAUUGGAACUAGGACCUCUCCAAAGAAGUGAAGAGAUGUCAGUAAAAGAGUGGAUGGAGAAGUGUUACCCCCAUAUUUUUUGUGUGUUUCCACAAAAUCCAAAGGUGUUUUUCCAGUUCUCUGACAAAUCAAAGCAAAAUGAAUUCUUAUAUUGCCACUACUGGCUUUUUCUCUUUGAGGUGAGGAACAUAGUUUUAAUGGACUAUAGUGUCUCCCCAGACUAUGUGGAGUCAUUAAGCAAGAUGAUUAGGACUUUGGAAAUGCGAGGUUUUGACUGUAGAUUCUUGAGGUCUGAAAUGUUAGUGGUAGGGAACAUGAUGAAGAAGCAGCAAGAAAUUAUAUUGGCAGAAAGGAAUGUGAUUGCAAAGAGGACUGUAAAUUUAGAGAAAGAACUUCAAGAUUUAGCUAAACAGAAGGGAAAAGGAGAAGAAUUGGACAAGAGAGGUGUGCAGACAGAGGAGAUAACACCAGAGAUUGAAAUGCUACUGAAGCAAGUCAAUAAACUGCAAGAAGAGCAAUAUGAAGGACAAAGAGAGCCAACUAAAACUCCAUGUGCUGCUUUAGGACAAGAGUAUGUUGAAGUUAUUCUACAACGCCAUAAGAAGAUGCUAGCAAGCAAGGAAGAGGAAGGGAAAAGAAUCCAUCAAGUUCUGGAGAAAAUAAACCAAUUGCAUCGAAAUAAAGCAGCUUUUUCUGGGCUCUGAAUCCUUCAUAAUGGUGUGUAUCUAUUUGCUUCCUGGUGUUUUAUUUUAUUUUAUUUUAUU